rnacentral:lncRNA from 1 species
UUGAGGGACCCGGCCUGAUGUACGCUCUACCUUACCCCGUGAUUUUAUGACCUCGCAGUAGUGGGAAGUCAAAAUCACACGGUGAUUUUGGCAGUGCUCUCCCAUGAUGUAAAAUAUGCAUGGGGUAUCCAAAUGCAGGAGCUGAGGAGAUUUAAAUAACAAAAGACUUCUAAAAGGAGUCCUGAAAAUAAAAUUUAGAGUGAAACAUUUUUUGUUUGAGAGUAGGUAAAAUGAGAGUAGGUUAUUUGAUUUAAUAGUGGUCUCUUUGGAUCUCUAAAAAUCUUUGCAUGUGCAUUCAAAAAGUAAAUAGAAAUAGUAAAUGCCAGUUGAUUGAAAAUCAUGAUACUUUUGAGAUGAUACUAAAUUUUUACAAUAUGAUAUAAAUCAGAAUAGUGUAGACAGCCAAUUUACAUAAUUCAACCCCAGAAAAUUAACUACAUACAUUCACUAUGUAAUGACUUAAUUCACUUAAGUUGAGCCAAGUGUCAUAAAUUUGCAAUGAACAUUUUUACUUUUUAAAAAAUGAGCUAAUUUUAGAUUUGUCACAGAAAACUACUAUUCAUUGACAUCGCAAAUUGGAAUUAUUAACAGAAAAGCUCAUUUCAAAUAUGGAGAACAUAAGAGAGUGUAGUGAUUGGGAUGUGUUCUCAACAUCAAACUGUAAGAAGAAAAUUUAAUAGCCAGAACUUGAGAAAAAUAUAAUGGGCUACCCGAUGAAUCACUUGGCAGGAAUAUUAUCAAUGGAAUUAAAUAAUGGCCUACUGUCAGUUUAAUUCAAUCAUCUCUUUAGUUAGUAUAUCAAAUUUCAUUCGUAUAUUAUGAGAGGUGAUGCCAUCAUUUUAUCUGCCUGUCUCAUUCUGACUAUAGAAUUUGAGCAACUUCACCAUUCUUCGUUCUUGUUUUGAUGGUCAAAGUUGCUGAAUAAUUGCUUCUUUCCUCCUUUGUGUGUCUUAGGACAAAUACAGCACAAUCUCAGAGUUAACUUAACAUCCAAACUGUUAUUACAUUCUCUGUCCUCAGUUAGUUGGUAGAAUUAUAAUCAGUUAAAAACAGAUUUAAAAAAAAACAGCUUUUACUGAACAUGGAUAUAUAGCAGUGCUACUUUAUAAAAUAAUAGUGUGGCUAAUAUAAUGGCAUUUAUUUAAACAAUUAUUGAGAUUAUUUUUCUCAUCUCUCCUCAUUUUCUGACCUGAGAAAUACAGUUCCAAGUUCACGAGUGAAUGUAAAUGAAGAAACAGGGAAAGCAUUUUAGAAUUUCUUGAAAUCUGGCACCAGGACUGAUUGUACAUAUGUAUAUAUACACUCAUGCAUGUGUGUGCCUAUGUAUGUGUGCAUAUGUGUAUACGUAUGUGUGUAUGAAUAUAUGUAUUUAAUCAUCAUGGGCUGGUAUAUCUGGUUAGAACAAAGUACAAGUAAACCCCAAGUAAUGAGUAAGAUUCCCUCCAGAUCCAGCUAAUUAUUUGAACAUACCCUUUUCAUCACAGCACGUCACUGCUGCAAACAUUGGAAUGCUUUCCCAUGGUUUACUAAACAAAGUACAAAGCUGUCUGACAAUGCAGAUCACAGCAAAGAUCCAAGUGAUGCAUGCCCUUCGGCAGGAUCUUCCCCACCCUGGGUCUCAGUUUUAUCUUCUAGAAAAUACACGUUCAAGAGUGAGAUUUGCAGCUUCCUCCCUGCUCAGACCUCAUGAUUUUGACUGUGAAACCCAUUCAUAUAACUUCAUUAUUCUUAUUCCCAUGUGAGAAGAUGUUUUUUCUCAUGUGCAGGCUGUUUACUAAAGGGCCACACAGCAUGUUACCUUCAAUCCGUAGACAUUUCUGGGAGUCAGCUGCGUGCACUGCAGUUGAAGAUGAGAACUAUUGAAUGCUUACCCAGUGCCAGGCCUGUGUCUCCACGCCUCUCGCCUGUCCCCCCUUAGCACCCUAUGAGGUCGACACUGUGGUCACCCUCCCUUGGCAGGUGCAGAGCAGAGGUGAGGAGGGUAAUGACUUGGUUGGCCUGUCUGACUCGGAAGCGCUGUCUUGCUCACCUCCAGUGUGCUGGGACAGCAGCACAGGAACCACCUCAGAGGUGCUCUGGAGAGAGUGACCAGCACCCACCCUUCCAUGCUGCCAGGGGUUCUUCGAUGUGUCCAGUCUUCUCCUCCCAGCUGCGGGCCUCGAGCAUUUAUCUAAAUGUUUCGCCUCCUUCAGACCCUACCUUGCUUUCUCCUCUCCCACUGUGGGUGGGCUGGCCUCCUACCCCCUGAGAAAAUCAAGGACAGUGAGGAGGAGUGCUGUGGACUUCCCCUCUUUAUCUUCAUCAGCUGCACGGGCAGCUGUGCCUUCCUGCUUUGCCCUGGUCUCCUGGUUAUGAAAGCCAAAUCCCCCACGCAGCUGAGUCCCUUUCCCUCCUGCCUUCUUAUGCUCCUGCACUGUCCUCAACUCCUAUCUCUCUUUAUGUUCAGCUGACCCCCCUCAUCCCUACCCUUCGCUUCACACGCCAUUGACAUAGUUGAGCUCACUCCACCUCGAAAAGCCUCUCCCUGAACUCUGAAUAUUCUCUAGCACAUGUGUGUCCACCUCCAUUUGCAGACAGUCCUGUUCUGUGCAGUUUCUUGUUCCUGGCCUUUAGCCCUAGUGAGCCCCUCCUUCAGAUUUUCCUCUCUUAUUUGUCUAUCAAAACAUUCUUCCCCUCAUAACAGGUGCCCCUCCCUCAAUGAGUUCACCAGUGUCAAAACACCUCCCACACCUUGGAGUAACCAUAAGAUUACUUGCUUCUCUCUCCUACUGAACUUUUAGUGUUUUGAGGAUGGAGACCUUGCCAUAGCACGGUUCUACCUUCCAGCAGUACCAGGCACCUGGAGUCCUGGGCCAUAUUCAUUUCAUGCCCCUAUAGAUGCUGAUUAAAGGCCUUUCCCUUCCCAAUCCCCUGCUAAACUCCAACACAUUCUUGCAGACCCAGGUCAAGUCUCUUCUAUGUACCUUCUGAAAACCUACUCAGUGGAAAUCCUUACUAUUAUUACUAACAUCACUUUUUGCACUAUUUGUCCUCUUGAUCUUUCUCUUAGUGGUUUGUGAAGUUUUUAUAUAUUGCUGUUUUUAUGUCUCCAGGACCUGAAACUGUACUAGGUACAUGGUAGGCACUCAACAAAUAUUUAUUGAAUGAAUGGAUCAAUCAACCAAUCAAACUAUGCAAAAUAAAGAGCAUAAGACUGUGAGAGAGGAGACGAAAGCCUGGCUGGGAGGGAAAGGCCAUAAGGAGUAAUAAGAUAGGAAAGUGUUAGGGUGUGUGGGAGAUCACAAAACAGUAUUUUCAGCGGUCUCCGUUGAGAGUUGACAUCUGCUUUUCCACCCCUCGAAUCUAGGUUUGGCCUUGCAACAGAUGGACCAACAGAACACUAGGAAACACGAUUCAAGUAGCAUCUUGAAAUGUGAUCCUGCAUUGGGGGUCCCCUCUCUUCACUGCACCCGGAACUUCCUCCAAGAAACAGUGGUCUGUGUGGGCACAAAUGAGCUACAGCACGUAUAAGUCAAUGGGAAGAAAGGAAAUGCUCACUAUGCUAGAAGUGACAGUAGAAACUUCCAUUGUGUGUGACUGGAGAGGCACAAAUGAAGGGCAUCUCCCAAACAGGCUUCAUCUUUUGGGAGUGUGAGAGGAGUGACAGUUUAAGGAGGCUUCACAGGCGUCCAUACAACCACAGGAUGAACAGCCUUUUAGAAGUUACUGUUGCCCUUCCAGGAAGACAAGUUUCAUUGCCUGACCCUUUUGUUUCGCCCCAAACCAUCAGGAUAACUGAAAGCCACUCCAACAUGUUGAUUGGGGUAGCCGAGGAAUGAUGCAGACCAGAGCAUCAGAGUAGGUGACAGGCAUUUGACAGUGGACACCCAAAAAAGCACUACUUACAAUAGCAAAAACUUAGAACCAAU